CGGAUCGGCGGCCUUUUCCUUGCCCACCGCCGCCUCUUGCAGGCCCCGCCGCCUUUGUCUGCUUCCCGGAGCCACUGAGCUGAUUGGGCGGCGGAGGACGCGGGCCCCGGCGCGGCCGGCGUGUCCCGGCUGCGAGGGCCACGGCAUCCGCGAGUUGCCAAGGUCACGGAGGCUUCGGGGAGCUAUGAGGCCGCUCCUGAGCACCCAUACCUGGCCCUCGGCCCCUUGCAAGAAGUUCAAGUGGGCCGAUGGGGUCCGGUGUCCACCGGUGAGAAACAGCAGCGCACUUUGUGCGAUCCCUGCGAGCCCGCAUGUGUGAUUACCCUCUGUUAAAAGGAUAAAAAGGCAACCUGACAGGUCAUCCUGUGGGAUUUUCAGACUUGAAUACAGCAGAGAUACACCAGCAGACAAGAGCCACUACACUUGUUUGCACCGUUCAGCCACAGCAAAGAUAAAAGUCCCAGAGUCGCGGCUCUUCCCCAGGUUGCUGGAUUGUUGGCAUGUCCAGGAGAUGUGGAUGUGCUACACACAUUGGCUGUGCCCUGUGCAUAGUCAAGUGCUCUGAAAGAAACCCAGGCAACUUCCUUGUCCUGCCUGGCUCAGGAAAUGUGGACACAGAAUCAUGAGGAGCGAGCAGGACAUUGGGGUGUGUGGAGAGAAAAGAGGGCUGACCAACAUGGCCUC